CCAGGAACAGAGCAUUUUCUCCCUCAUGGAGAGGGUCAGGUGGGCAAGCAUGAAGUGGACCAAUGUUACCGGUAUAAAUAAUACAGUUGGGUAGCAGAGAGACAACAAUAUACAGGUUGCAAUAAAAUGACGUAACAUUUGGGAAAGAAUAUGCAAACAAGUAGCCCAGCACUGGAAGAUAUGAUGGCAAAUAUCUCCACUGCGACCAUGUGUUUUCCUUUGGUGCUUAGAUAAGCUGGGAUAAAUGUAAUCCAGACACUAGCAAACACUAACAUGCUGAAAGUGAUAAACUUGGCUUCAUUGAAAGUGUCGGGGAGAUUCCUGGCUAGAAAUGCAACAAGGAGGCUGAGAGACGCCAAGAGUCCCAUGUAGCCCAAAACACAGGCAAAUAAUACUUUAGACCCUUCAUUACAUUCAAUAAUUAUAGUUCCAAUCUCUGCCACCAUAUUGAGUUCUUCAAAAGGAGCAGAUGUAGACAACCAUAAUAGGCACAAGACUAUCUGGACCAAUGUACAUGAAGGAACAAUGUAUAUAGGAAUUCGUAGUCCAACAAGUCUUUUUAUUUUACUAUCUGGAUUUGGAGCACUGAAAACCAUUAUGACUGUGAUAGUCUUGGCUAGUAUUGCUGACAGACAAAUGGAGAAAAUAAUUCCAAAUACCACUUGGCGUAACAUGCAGGUUAACAUGUUUGGUUGUCCAAUGAAUACUAAGGAGCACAUGAAGCAAAACAUAAUGGAGACAAGAAGAAGAUAACUAAGUUCUCUGUUGUUGGCUUUAACUAUGGGUGUUUUAUGUUUCACAAUAAACAAACAGAGUACAGACAAUGUGAGAGCACAGCAAAUGAUUGAGAUGAAAGUCAAGGAUGAACCCAACAGCUCAUCAUAAGAAAGAAACUGAAUGGGUUUUGGCACACAUUUCUCUUUUGAUGAGUUUGGCCACUGAUCUUCUGGACAUCUUAGACAUUCUGCACUAUCUAAGGAAAGUACAAAAAUGAUUAUUAGUAUAAUGUACAAAAAAAAUGGAACUCUUUAAAUGAAAUGAUCAUUUAUGUACACACAUGGGAAAAAUAUAUUUUGCUGGAAAAGCCAAUAAUCAAGAUGAAACCUUGGCAAUGCAACUGGUUCCUGAAUAAUUUAAAGGCUACCUUCAAGAAUUAAUUAUCAUGAUAAUUAAAUAUGCCCACAAAAUACCCUGCAUUUCAACUUUUGAAAAAUAAAGAGAUUUUUCUAGGCACUUUAUACAUUAGUGACUAAAUAAAUAAAUCUAAAAACAAAAUGUAAUGCACAGUUGAAAAUAAUUGAGAAUAAGUUAAGUUACAGUAUAAAACAAUUCUUAGAUUUUUUUACGUUGCAAAUUAGUUUUUAUAAUAAUAUUUAGAAAAAACGCUAAUUUGGGUUAUACUGUAUAGUGCUCAUUAAGCAACAAACAGUACUGCUAAUGUACAGAGACAUGACACAUCCAAAAUAGUUAUAUUUUAAUACAAAAUAAACAUUUUAUAAAGCAUGAAAGGUGUAUGCAUUUGAAGAUUUAUUUAAAAUUAAAAACAAAAACAAAAAUUCCAUAACUAUGUCAGUGAAAACUCAAGUCACAAUAUUGACUCGCAUCAUGUGAUCUAUUGGCUGCCAUUGUUUUAAAUGUUAUUGUACCUCACUUGAAUUACAUAACAGGGCAUCACAUAAUGAAAUUAAUGAGCCCCUGUUUUAUGGCCCUUCAUCCCCUUCAGACAUAGAGAGGGCACUGAUGAGCUUCAGGGACAAUGUCAGAGACAGUCAGUGGCUGGUGGGAAUCAGAGGCGGCAUAUGCAGGGAGAGAGGAGAUUAUAAUAGUCUGACUCUACUGACCAUUAGGAGCAGUCUGAGAUACCAGAUCAGCAGCUGGACCUGCGCA